CGUGGCUUAUUCAUAGGGUACCGUCAAGAGCUUGCGCCCAUUCGUCCCCUAUAAAAGAAGUUUACGAUCCGAAAACCUUCAUCCUUCACGCGGCGUCGCUGGAUCAGACUUUCGUCCAUUGUCCAAAAUUCCC
rnacentral:rRNA from 1 species